CGACUAUUCCACAUUUCCAUUUUAAAAAACGUGAGACGUGUAUAGAACACGAAUGUAUUAUUAAAAAAUACGUACAUACGUGUAUAAUAAAGUAUUAAACGUGAAAGUACUAAAUUCUUUAUACGGGUAAUAACUCUGGAAAAAGGUAAAAAAUUAAAAUCGGACAAUAGAGACUCGGGUAAUGGCCUAAUACUAAUGGAUAACUACUCUUAUUGAUAAACAAAAAUCAAGGAAAAAAAUAGAAGAUAAGAAGGAUCCCAGUAUAUAUAUAGAAGACUAUAGCCACUCGUCUAUACUAUAUAUUGAAGAAUUUUUUUUUAAAAAUAAAAAGGUAUAGCCGCUCAGCUAUACUAUUUUUUUAAAAACAUUGAAAAAAUUGAGUAUAUUAAAAUAAAAUAAAAAACAAGAGAACAGACACACAGCUCUUUGGCGCCCACAUGUAAAAUAUUAUAGCCGUUCGGCUAUACUAUUUUUAAUUAUAAAAAAGGACCCAACCGAUGAGCCGCUACGUGUCAAAACUAGUCUAUUUUAAAACAAAUAAAAAACACGGAGUAUAGCCGUGCGACUGUGCUAUUUUUUUUAUAAAAAAAAAAAGAAGCACCCUCUAGCGCCACGUGUGAAAAAUAAGUUUUUUUUUUUUUAAAUCAUAGUAUAGCGGCCCGGCUAUACCAUUUAAAUACAUUAUAGUCAAAAUGUGUAGCCACACGACUAUACUAUUUAAGAAAAAAAGACCCUCCUAAUUGCAUUAGUUUGUACUUUAUACAUAUUAAUUCGCUAGUAAUCGGCCACUAUAUAAUAUUGUAAUAUAAUUUUUAUAACACAUAUUAUUCUUUUUCAAUAGUAUGUGAGAAUUAUUUGUAUAAUACGUUGAUUUUGUGUGUCUGACUACAAAUGUUUUUUAAAAAUACGUGUAUUAAACAUUAGAAAUAAGUAUGUACAUGUACAAUACGACUAUUCCGCAUUUCCUUUUUUAAAAAAACGUGACACGUUUAUAGAACACGAAUGUAUUAUUAAUAGAGACUCGGGUAAUGGCCUAAUAGUAAUGGAUAACUACUCUUAUCGAUAAACGAAAAUCGGGAAAAAAAUUAAAAGAAAAAAAGGAUCACAAUAUACAUAUAUAUAUAUAUAAAAGACUAUAGACACUCGUCUAUACUAUUUAUCGAAUACAAUUUUUUUUAAAAAAAAAACAGUAAAGCCGCUCGGGUAUACUAUUUUUUAAAUAUUUGAAAAAAAAUCGGGUAGAGCCGCACGGUUAUACUAUUUACUAUAUAUAAGAGAACAGACGCAGCCCUUUCAUGUGUAAAAUAGAAUAGCCGUCUGGCUGUACUUGAAAUAUUAAAAAAAAUAAGUAUAGCCGGGCGGCUAAAGGACCCCCACCGAGUAGCCGCCAAGUGUCAAAACUAGUCUAUUUUUUAAAAAAUAAAAAACACGGACUAUAGCCGCUGUACUAUUUUUUUUUUUAAUAUUUAAAAAGAGUACCCUCUGUGGCCACGUGUCAAAUAUAAUUUUUUUGAAGAAUACGUAGUAUAGCCGGCCGGCUAUACUAUUUAAAUACAUUAUAUUCAAAAGGUAUAGCCGCGCAGCUAUCCUAUGUAAUAAAAAAAUAAUAAAGAAAAAAGGACCCUCCUAAUUGCAUUAGUUUGUACUUUAUACAUAUUAAUUUGCUAGUUUCAAUAUAUCCAAAGUAGAUAUUAAUUGGCCACUACAUAAUAUUGUAAUAUAAUUUUUUAUAACAUAUAUUAUUCAUAUUCAAUAGUAUGUGAGAAUUAUUUAUAUAAUACGUAAAUUUGGUCUCUUAUUGCAAAUUUUUAAAAAAAUACGUGUAUUAAACAUUAGAAAUACAUCUGUACAUGUACAAUACAACUAUUCCACAUUUCCUUUUUAAAAAAAACGUGAGACAUGUAUAGAACAUGGAUGUAGUAUUAAUAGUAAUAGAGACUCGGGUAAUGGCCUAAUAGUAAUGGAUAACUACUCUUAUCGAUAAACGAAAAUCGGAGAAAAAGUUAUAAAAAAAAAAGGAUCCCAGUAUAUAUACAAAAGACUGUAGCCACUACUUUAUACUAUUUAUUGAAGAAAAUUUAUUUUUUUUUUUAAAAAACAAACAAACAAACCAGUAAAGCCACCCGGCUAUACUAUUUUCCAAAAAACAUUUGAAAAAAAUCGAGUAUAUCUAGUCGGCUAUAAUAUUUACUAUCUAAAAAAAAUAAAAAUAGAGAACAGACGCACAGACCAGUGGCGCCCACGUGUAAAAUCGUAUACGCUUACAGCUAUGUUUGAAAAAUUAAAAAAACUGAGUAUAGCCGUGCGGCUGUACUAGUUUUUAAUAGAAAAAAGGACCCCACCGAUUAGCCGCCAGAUGUCAAAACUAGUCUCUUCUUUUUUUUUUUUAAACAGAGUAUCACCAUGUGGCUGUACUAUUUUUUCUUUUUAAAAAAAGGACCCUCUAGCGUCACGUGUCAAAAAUUGGUCCUAACAAUCUCCCCGUUUGGCAUUUCCUAUACAAAAACUCCAAUUACAUAAGUUAGUCCUAACAAUGUCCCCCCAAAAAGAAUUAAAAGUGAAUGAAAAGAAUUCAUAACAAAAAAAUAAAGUAAAAAUAGAAAUAAAAACAUGACCACUUGCAAUAGAGAAGGUAACCUGAAUUCGGCACCACUAAACGAAAAAUAACUAGUGGAAAGCAUGUAUGACUGAAAAUACAAUAUGUAAGUAAAAAUUGAAGUCAUAAUGUUUACUCCCCUUUUUUGGAUAGGUAAUGGCAAACUUCCCUUCAAAGCAACAGCUGCACCACAAAAAAGAAAAAACAAAACAAAACAAACAAACAAACUCACUCCCCCUCAAAUCAAUAGCCACGAUUCUAGUUGCUAAUUGAGGAUUUUAGUCAAUUUUUGUAUUGUAUGUGAUUCUAUCUAGAUCAAUUCAACAUGUUGUUGUGUUUAAUCACUAGAGAAGAUUUACCCAUA
rnacentral:lncRNA from 1 species